UUGUUUAUUAAUUCUACUAAAUGAAUUAAAUGAAUCAAAACAAGUAUUCGUUUAGUAAAUAAAUCGAAUCCUAAGACUUCUAUUAAUUUAAUAAAUGAAUUAUAUUUGAAUCAGUAAAGUUUUGACGCAAUUCAUUUACGAAUUCGAUUAAUUUAUUCGUUUUACCACUUCUAGUUCAAAUUGAAAUUAAAAGGAAGAGUGAAGCUUCUCAAACCCCUCAAAAGUCCUAAUAACACCUUCUUUAUGAAGUUUACAAUUUUAACCUUAAUGAAAAUUACUUCAUACUAUAAAUUUUAGUCCUUGGAUAUUAUCAGCAUAGUGCUAGUGAAUAAAGAAUUUAUCUUAUGAAUCAAGAUUAUUUCUUGAUUUGAUCAUAUCUUCAGUAAAUAAAAAAAUAAAAAAAGUUAAAUUUUACUCAUACACUAUCACUAAAAGAUACAUGACAGAAAAUCUUUAAAAGUUCAGUAGAGUUCAGAUCAAGAAAUGAUCUUAUUCCUUAUCUUAUUCAUUUUGUUGAAAUUUAGAUUACCUAAAUUGUUGGGUUAUUUAAUUUUCAAGAAAUUAAAGAUAAAACUGAUUUCUUGUCUUUGGAAAAAACUGAUUCUAUGAAAGAGGUUAUGAUCCAUUAAGCAUAUGUACUUAAACAUGAAUCGUAAUUUUGCUUUCGUGGAUCGUGAAUUUAUUGACAUUGAGGUAAUUGAUCACAUUCAAAAAACACACAUCUUUUUAAUUUCUUUUCUUUUCUCAUCAAGUGUACCAAUCAAUGAAAGGAGUAAUAAAAGAUUAUUUAUUGGAAAAGUACUCCUCUUUCUUUUAGCUUAACGGCGGAUUGUUACAAAAGUACUUAAACGACAUAAUAGAAACAACCAAUCAACAUAAUUAAUAAAAGCACCCGUUGUCGGGGCAAGGGUAAGGGUAUGGAUAGAUCUCCUCAUCCUCCUCGCCCUUCUUAAUUAAACACUCUUCGGGUGGCAGCCCUGAGCAAUCAUCAUUGUCAGCAGGUGAUGGUGCAGGAAUGGCAGAAUUAGAAAGCUUAUUAGAUUCUUGUGCUUGAAAUCAGCACACUUUCAAUGAAGGAAGAAACCAAUACUCUUCGACAUUUUUUUUUUUUUCAUUUUUAAACUUGUAAUAAAGAACUUAGAAUAAAAAGAUAGAUGCAAGAACAUGAAAAAAUAGAACUCUAUAUUUUUUUCGGAUUGUGUUCUGAGCGUUGAGCAAUUAAAGAUUUCAUGAAUGAGCAUUGAAUAAAUCAUGCAAUUAAAACUCAAAGCGUUUCAACAACUAGUCCCUCUCUUCGAUUAAGUGGAAUUUGACUGGUUAGAUAACUAAAUAGUUGAAUUUUGAGUACAUUGAUAAAAUCAUGUAAUUUUAAGAGUAUAAUUAACAAUUAAAAUUAAAAAUUUUCAAAAAAAAUUUAACAAUUAAAAGAACAACAUCACUUUAGUUAGUAAUAAACAUUCAAUUAUUCAAGUUCUCGUUGGAAUUUUACAAAUAUUUGUUAAAUCUACAGUUACUAAGUGCCAGUUUGAUAAUAUUGUACAUUUUAAAACAAUUGAUAUUAAUUAUACUGUAGAAAUAAUCAAUUGUGAAGAGAAUCACUUAAAUCCUUGAUAAAAUUUAUUUUUAACAGUGUUGUAAGUUUUAAAAAUAGUUAUAUGUCUUUGAUAAAUCUUACUUUAAAAUCUAUUCAGUUUUCCCUCGAUAGAAAUUCAGUGUAAAAUUAAAGUCAAACCAAUAACAAAAAUAGAAAGUUUAGUCUUUGGAUAUUAUCAGCAUAGUGCUCGUGGAUUUAUCUUAUUCAUUUUGCUGAAAUUAAGAUGACCUAAAUUGUUGGCUAAAUUAAUUUUCAAGAAAUUAAAGAUAAAACUGAUUUCUUGUCUUCGGAUAAAACAUAUUAUAUGAAAGAGGUUUAUGAUCCAUUAAGCAUACAUAUUUAAAUAUGAAUUGUUAUUUUGCUUUCGUGGAUUUAUUAAUAUUGAGUAAGAAUGGCAAUAGGGUGGGGUAGGGGUGGGA
rnacentral:lncRNA from 1 species